GCUGGGUGUGGUGGCGCAUGCCUGUACUCCCAGCAGCUUGGGAGGCUGAGGCAGGAGGAUCAUAAGUUCAAAGCCAGCCUUGG
rnacentral:sRNA from 1 species